UUUUUGUGGUUUUGGAUGGACUCGCGGCCUAUCAGCUUGUUGGUGAGGUAAUGGCUUACCAAGGCGACGACGGGUAGCCGGCCUGAGAGGGUGACCGGCCACACUGGGAYUGAGACACGGCCCAGACUCCUACGGGAGGCAGCAGUGGGGAAUAUUGCACAAUGGGCGCAAGCCUGAUGCAGCGACGCCGCGUGAGGGAUGACGGCCUUCGGGUUGUAAACCUCUUUCAGUAGGGAAGAAGCGAAAGUGACGGUACCUGCAGAAGAAGCGCCGGCUAACUACGUGCCAGCAGCCGCGGUAAUACGUAGGGCGCAAGCGUUAUCCGGAAUUAUUGGGCGUAAAGAGCUCGUAGGCGGUUUGUCGCGUCUGCCGUGAAAGUCCGGGGCUCAACUCCGGAUCUGCGGUGGGUACGGGCAGACUAGAGUGAUGUAGGGGAGACUGGAAUUCCUGGUGUAGCGGUGAAAUGCGCAGAUAUCAGGAGGAACACCGAUGGCGAAGGCAGGUCUCUGGGCAUUAACUGACGCUGAGGAGCGAAAGCAUGGGGAGCGAACAGGAUUAGAUACCCUGGUAGUCCAUGCCGUAAACGUUGGGCACUAGGUGUGGGGGACAUUCCACGUUUUCCGCGCCGUAGCUAACGCAUUAAGUGCCCCGCCUGGGGAGUACGGCCGCAAGGCUAAAACUCAAAGGAAUUGACGGGGGCCCGCACAAGCGGCGGAGCAUGCGGAUUAAUUCGAUGCAACGCGAAGAACCUUACCAAGGCUUGACAUGGACCGGACCGCCGCAGAAAUGUGGUUUCCCCUUUGGGGCUGGUUUACAGGUGGUGCAUGGUUGUCGUCAGCUCGUGUCGUGAGAUGUUGGGUUAAGUCCCGCAACGAGCGCAACCCUCGUUCUAUGUUGCCAGCACGUGAUGGUGGG
rnacentral:rRNA from 1 species